CCUACGGGAGGCAGCAGUGGGGAAUAUUGGUCAAUGGGCGCAAGCCUGAACCAGCAAAGCCGCGUGAGGGAAGAAGGCCCUCUGGUUGUUAACCUCUUUUAAGCGGGAAGAGCAGCAGACGGUACCUCUUGAAUAAGCCACGGCUAACUACGUGCCAGCAGCCGCGGUAAUACGUAGGUGGCAAGCGUUGUCCGAAUUUACGGGGUGUAAAGGGUGCGCAGGCGGAGUUGCAAGUCAGCGGUCAAAUUUCGGGGCACAACCCCGGACUGCCGUUGAAACUGCAUCCCUUGAGUGCGCGAGAAGUAUGCGGAAUGCGUGGUGUAGCGGUGAAAUGCAUAGAUAUCACGCAGAACUCCGAUUGCGAAGGCAGCAUACCGGCGCGCAACUGACGCUCAGGCACGAAAGCGUGGGGAUCGAACAGGAUUAGAUACCCCUGUAGUC
rnacentral:rRNA from 1 species